UCGGACGGGAAGCGAAGAAGGAGAUGUUUCGCUGCGAUCUGUGAGUGAGUGGAUUUCUCAAGGGCCAAAGGCUUUGUUGUGCAUAGUCAGGGCCUUAUUUACUUAUAUAAAUAAGCUUGUUUCCCUUCAAAGUUGGGACUUUAUUGUCCCAACAGGCUAUUGGGAACUGUCUGUUUUUAAGGAAAAGGCUGGUGCUGUGAUGUUUUAAUGGUGCUUAUCUGUAUGUUUUAACAGAUCUUUUAUUUGCAAUGUUUAAUUGUUUUUUUAAUAUUGUUUCCUCCCACACACAAACAAACACAUGUUUUUUGCUGUUUACUGCGUUUCAUUCCUGCCCCACUGGUUUUCUGUCCUCCCCCCACCCUCCACAAUCAUCACCAUUCUGUGACUACUUGUCCUCCCCGACCCACACCUUUUUUCUUUUUCUUAAAGGAAGAUAUAUUCCAGGGUUCUAGCCUCUUAUCAUGAAUCCAAGUGACACCUUGAAGUUAUGUAUUACAGCUUGAAGUUAUGUAUUCCAGGGUUUUCACUGCAAAACUUUCUGAUAAUGCAUAAACUCUCCUCUGACCAAUAUACUAUGGAUACAUACCUUGGAAAAACAGAGAAGAUCACAUGAAUUUUCACCAGGUUUUUAAAAAAGGUAAUGAGAAACUAAUCUGGAGAACUGCACAAGAUCAGAAAGAUAAAAACUAAGAGAAAUUGAAAUUGUUAGAUUCAUCCAUCCCUAUUCAAAACUUUGGUGUUUGCUAGGCAGACUCACUCAAGAGGAACGAUCAGAGGGCAUCCCUUCCAGGGUCUGACGGGUCUUCAUUAUAUGGCCUGUGGUAGCUGGUGAAUCCCCUUCUUUUCCUCUUUUCCCGUCUAGGAUGUGAGAAGCACCUUGCAAAGAAGUUCUGCAACUGAAUGGGACUUCUCCAUCAGAAGUCAGCAAAGGGAGACAUUUAAGAAUCCAAUGGAUUUCCUACCAAAGUUGAAGAGGUGGAUCUCAAAAUUCUGCAUUAAAACUCCCAUUCUGAAUGUUGGGAUGAAGGAUACCAAAGCAAAUGUCACUCUGGAUCCAGACACAGCCCGUCAAUGGCUCGUCCUGGACAAGGAUCAGAGAAAUGUGAUAUACGGAGACAAACAUCUAGUGGUGCUCAACAAUCCUGAGAGCUUCAGCUACUGGCAUUGUGUGUUGGGACAUGAGGGAUUCACAGCAGGCAGACAUUUCUGGGAGGUCACAGUGGAAAGUGCAGAAGGGUGGGGUUUGUGUGUUGCCAGCAAGUGUGUGUGGAGUAAGCGCGGCUUCAGAUUAAGGCGGCCUGGGGGAAGGGCCUGGGCUGUGAGGAUGGAGGGUGGUGAGUACGAGGUCCAAAACUGCCCUCGUCCCUCUCCUCUGUCCCUGAGUGAGAAGCCCAAGAGGAUCCGGGUGACUCUGGACUAUGAAGGGGGAUGUUUGUCUUUCUCUGAUGCUGACUCAGGAGCUGAACUCUACACCUUCUCAGAAGACUCAUUCUCUGGAGAAUCUGCCUCACAAGCCCAGUUGGAGUUUUGCUCACAAGCCCAGUUGGAGUUUCUCUCCACAUGUUAUAACACCACACCAGAAUGACUGAGGUGAAAACAUUUGCCAGUUUUGGCCUCUUUGCAGGGACCUUUUGAGAGGAGUCGCAGUCAGCAAAAAUAAGAAAAGAAACAAAACCUGGGAUUUUCUCUUUCCUUUCCUUUCCCAGAAUUUCCUCUGCAGCUGAGUCCUUAACAGACCAUAAUACUUUAACAGUGUCAAUUAACAAUCUGUUUAUCAAAAGGGUUUAGCCCAUAGCUGCCAAGUUAUCCCUUUUUUACAGGGAUUUUCCCUCAUGCUGAAUAGGCUUCCUCGCGAGAAAAGGGAAAACUUGGCAGCUAUGGUUUAGCCUCCACCAACUUUAACCCGCUUUUCAUUGCUCACCUACACCAGCUGUUAGAAUACACACAUAUUCCUAGAAAACACUCUGUUCCCACUUUUGCAACUCAAGCUCAUUGCCUUGUGGCUUUGAGUAACUGGUUUAAUAUACUGUGCUUUAAUCGUUAGAACUAUGUUGUUUUCUCUCUUGCUGGCUUUGGUGCUCUGUUAAUUGUUCAUGAUCUUCUGCUGUUUUUAUGGUUUUACAAUAGGUUUUUUUUGGGGGGGGACAGCUUUUGUAAUGUUUUCAAUCAAUUUUAUUUGUAUUUUAUGGAUUUGAAUCUUUGGUUAUUUGUGAGGUAUAUGCCAGUCCAAAAAACACCCAGUACUAAAGAAAAGCUCCAAAAGCUCCAUUGCUGACUGUUGAGGAGCCCCUCAACUUUUUGUGGGUAUGGUGAUGUGUCAUUGAUGCAAUAAUAGAGCCUAAUCAUGAAUUGAUGCUGGACUAUCCACACAUCCACUGUGCUUCAGUAGCUAUUCUGCAAUUCUUCCAGAAUGUUACCCCAUUUGAAUGGGUGCUCUUGGGCUUUAAUGAAACAAAAGGGGACCAAACAGAAAAUUUCAAGGGAACAUUUCUGGCAUGACAAUUUAUCCGAUUUCAGUAGGAAGCAACAGGACAUGUGGACUGAUAAGAAAUGAAGAAGUUACCGGUAGGACCACUGCAAUCUUUUGGAGGUACAAAAGGCCUUGAAACUGGGAUUGCAUGAGUUCCCAGAAAGCACUAUGCCUAGAUAUCAUCACAAUUACACAAUAAAAGGAAUAUAAAUCCUGGGAGUGUUUGCAUUUUGUGUUGGAGUGGGAUUAUUGCUGAGAGCUCCAACUCUGGGUGAAUGUGGGCUGGGGAUCAUAGUAAAAAAAGAAAAAGAAAACCCCAUUCUACCACUAUUUUAAUAUAUUCGAAGCUGGCACUCAUCUGUCUAGACCAGGCAUGGCCAAACUUGGCCCUCCACAUGUUUGGGACUACAAUUCCCAUCAUCCCUGACCACUGGUCCUGUUAGCUAGGGAUGAUGGGAGUUGUAGUUCCAAAACAUCUGGAGGGCCGGAGUUUGCCUAUGCCUGAUAUACAUCAUUACCUCAUUUCAUGUUUUAUACACAUGCACAAUAAGCACUGGCAAUUUCUGCUGAUUAAGUAUGCAUGUUAGGAACCUGUGUUACAUG